GCAAUUGUAGCUUAAAGUUAAAAGCAUUGGUCUUGUAAGCCAAAAAUAGAUCUAAUUAUCUCAGUUGCU
rnacentral:tRNA from 1 species